GACGAACGCUGGCGGCGUGCUUAACACAUGCAAGUCGAACGGAAAGGCCCUGCUUUUGUGGGGUGCUCGAGUGGCGAACGGGUGAGUAACACGUGAGUAACCUGCCCUUGACUUUGGGAUAACUUCAGGAAACUGGGGCUAAUACCGGAUAGGAGCUCCUGCUGCAUGGUGGGGGUUGGAAAGUUUCGGCGGUUGGGGAUGGACUCGCGGCUUAUCAGCUUGUUGGUGGGGUAGUGGCUUACCAAGGCUUUGACGGGUAGCCGGCCUGAGAGGGUGACCGGCCACAUUGGGACUGAGAUGCGGCCCAGACUCCUACGGGAGGCAGCAGUGGGGAAUAUUGCACAAUGGGCGGAAGCCUGAUGCAGCAACGCCGCGUGCGGGAUGACGGCCUUCGGGUUGUAAUCCGCUUUCGCCUGUGACGAAGCGUGAGUGACGGUAAUGGGUAAAGAAGCACCGGCUAACUACGUG
rnacentral:rRNA from 1 species